rnacentral:tRNA from 1 species
GUGGCGGUCGUUCAACGGCUAGGACGUCGGCUCGCCAAGUCGACAAUCAGGGUUCGAGUCCCUGUCGCCACACCG